GAACAACGCUGGCGGCGUGCCUAAUGCAUGCAAGUCGAACGGGAGCCCCUUCGGGGGUCGGACCGUGGCGGACGGGUGAGGAACACGUGGGCAACUCAUCCACGCGCGGGGGAGUAACGGCGGGAAACCGUACGGUAUACCCACUGAGCUUCUUUGAUUGUUUGGGAUGAAGAAGCAAAGGUAGGCGACACCGUGCGUGGCGGGGCC
rnacentral:rRNA from 1 species